UUGGCGGACGGGUGAGUAACGCGUGAGAAUCUGCCUUUAGGACGGGGACAACAGUUGGAAACGGCUGCUAAAACCCGAUGUGCCCUUCGGGGUGAAAUAUUUAUAGCCUGAAGAUGAGCUCGCGUCUGAUUAGCUAGUAGGUGCGGUAACGGCGUACCUAGGCGACGAUCAGUAACUGGUCUGAGAGGAUGACCAGUCACACUGGGACUGAGACACGGCCCAG
rnacentral:rRNA from 1 species